ACAACCAACAGAAGAA
rnacentral:sRNA from 1 species